UACAGAGGGGGCCAGCGUUAUUCGGAAUUAUUGGGCGUAAAGGGCGCGUAGGCGGCUUUGCGUGUCUUUCGUGAAAUCCCUCGGCUCAACUGAGGACGUGCGGAAGAAACUGCAGGGCUGGAGUCCGGGAGAGGAGGGUGGAAUUCCCAGUGUAGCGGUGAAAUGCGUAGAUAUUGGGAGGAACACCGGUGGCGAAGGCGGCCCUCUGGACCGGUACUGACGCUGAGUGCGACCG
rnacentral:rRNA from 1 species